rnacentral:rRNA from 1 species
CCUACGGGAGGCAGCAGUAGGGAAUCUUCCGCAAUGGACGAAAGUCUGACGGAGCAACGCCGCGUGAACGAUGAAGGCCUUCGGGUCGUAAAGUUCUGUUGUUAGGGAAGAACAAGUGCUAGUUGAAUAAGCUGGCACCUUGACGGUACCUAACCAGAAAGCCACGGCUAACUACGUGCCAGCAGCCGCGGUAAUACGUAGGUGGCAAGCGUUGUCCGGAAUUAUUGGGCGUAAAGCGCGCGCAGGCGGUUUCUUAAGUCUGAUGUGAAAGCCCCCGGCUCAACCGGGGAGGGUCAUUGGAAACUGGGAAACUUGAGUGCAGAAGAGGAAAGUGGAAUUCCAAGUGUAGCGGUGAAAUGCGUAGAGAUUUGGAGGAACACCAGUGGCGAAGGCGACUUUCUGGUCUGUAACUGACGCUGAGGCGCGAAAGCGUGGGGAGCAAACAGGAUUAGAUACCCUGGUAGUCCACGCUGUAAACGAUGAGUGCUAAGUGUUAGAGGGUUUCCGCCCUUUAGUGCUGAAGUUAACGCAUUAAGCACUCCGCCUGGGGAGUACGGUCGCAAGCUGAAACUCAAANAGAGUAGACGCGUGAGACGUCGCCGACGGACGACGACGAGGGAGGAGG